GAGUUUGAUCAUGGCUCAGAACGUACGCUGGCGGCACGCCUUAUACAUGCAAGUCGAACGCAGUAGCAAUACUGAGUGGCAAACGGGUGAGUAUAAUGUGGGUAUCUGCCUUUUGGUUUGGAAUAACAUGAGGAAACUUAUGCUAAUACCGGAUAAGCCUUCACAGGGAAAGUUUUAUACGCCGAAAGAUGAGCCCGCACUUGAUUAGUUUGUUGGUGAGGUAAUGGCUCACCAAGACAAUUAUCAAUAGCUGGUCUGAGAGGACGAUCAGCCACAUUGGGACUGAGACACGGCCCAGACUCCUACGGGAGGCAGCAGUAAGGAAUCUUGCACAAUGGGGGAAACCCUGAUGCAGCGAUGCCGCGUGAGUGAAGAAGGCCCUUGGGUUGUAAAACUCUUUCGUCGGGGAAGAAAAUGACUGUACCCGAAUAAGAAGGUCCGGCUAACUUCGUGCCAGCAGCCGCGGUAAUACGAAGGGACCUAGCGUAGUUCGGAAUUACUGGGCUUAAAGAGCUCGUAGGUGGUUAAAAAAGUUGAUGGUGAAAUCCCAAGGCUCAACCUUGGAACUGCCAUCAAAACUUUUUAGCUAGAGUGUGAUAGAGGUAAGUGGAAUUUCUAGUGUAGAGGUGAAAUUUCGUAGAUAU
rnacentral:rRNA from 1 species